rnacentral:rRNA from 1 species
UACAGAGGGUGCAAGCGUUAAUCGGAUUUACUGGGCGUAAAGCGUGCGUAGGCGGUUCGCUAAGUCGGUUGUGAAAUCCCUGGGCUUAACCUGGGAACUGCAGUCGAUACUGGCGAACUAGAAUGCGGUAGAGGGUGGCGGAACUCCGGGUGUAGCGGUGAAAUGCGUAGAUAUCCGGAGGAAUACCGGUGGCGAAGGCGGCAUCCUGGACCAUAACUGACGCUGAGGCGCGAAAGCCUAGGGGAGCAA